rnacentral:rRNA from 1 species
AUUGAACGCUGGCGGCAGGCUUAACACAUGCAAGUCGAGCGGGGUGAUGGUGCUUGCACUAUCACUUAGCGGCGGACGGGUGAGUAAUGCUCAGGAAUCUGCCUAUUAGUGGGGGACAACAUCUCGAAAGGGAUGCUAAUACCGCAUACGUCCUACGAGAGAAAGCAGGGGAUCACUUGUGACCUUGCGCUAAUAGAUGAGCCUAAGUCGGAUUAGCUAGUUGGUGGGGUAAAGGCCUACCAAGGCGACGAUCUGUAGCGGGUCUGAGAGGAUGAUCCGCCACACUGGGACUGAGACACGGCCCAGAAUCCUACGGGAGGCAGCAGUGGGGAAUAUUGGACGAUGGGGGGAACCCUGAUCCAGCCAUGCCGCGUGUGUGAAGAAGGCCUUAUGGUUGUAAAGCACUUUAAGCGAGGAGGAGGCUCUUUUGGUUAAUACCCAAGAUGAGUGGACGUUACUCGCAGAAUAAGCACCGGCUAACUCUGUGCCAGCCGCCGCCGUAA